UCCAGAGUUUGAUCCUGGCUCAGAUUGAACGCUGGCGGCAGGCUUAACACAUGCAAGUCGAGCGGGGGAAGGUAGCUUGCUACUGGACCUAGCGGCGGACGGGUGAGUAAUGCUUAGGAAUCUGCCUAUUAGUGGGGGACAACAUCUCGAAAGGGAUGCUAAUACCGCAUACGUCCUACGGGAGAAAGCAGGGGAUCUUCGGACCUUGCGCUAAUAGAUGAGCCUAAGUCGGAUUAGCUAGUUGGUGGGGUAAAGGCCUACCAAGGCGACGAUCUGUAGCGGGUCUGAGAGGAUGAUCCGCCACACUGGGACUGCASACUWCGGCCCAGACUCCUACGGGAGGCAGCAGUGGGGAAUAUUGGACAAUGGGGGGAACCCUGAUCCAGCCAUGCCGCGUGUGUGAAGAAGGCCUUAUGGUUGUAAAGCACUUUAAGCGAGGAGGAGGCUACUUUAGUUAAUACCUAGAGAUAGUGGACGUUACUCGCAGAAUAAGCACCGGCUAACUCUGUGCCAGCAGCCGCGGUAAUACAGAGGGUGCGAGCGUUAAUCGGAUUUACUGGGCGUAAAGCGUGCGUAGGCGGCUUAUUAAGUCGGAUGUGAAAUCCCCGAGCUUAACUUGGGAAUUGCAUUCGAUACUGGUGAGCUAGAGUAUGGGAGAGGAUGGUAGAAUUCCAGGUGUAGCGGUGAAAUGCGUAGAGAUCUGGAGGAAUACCGAUGGCGAAGGCAGCCAUCUGGCCUAAUACUGACGCUGAGGUACGAAAGCAUGGGGAGCAAACAGGAUUAGAUACCCUGGUAGUCCAUGCCGUAAACGAUGUCUACUAGCCGUUGGGGCCUUUGAGGCUUUAGUGGCGCAGCUAACGCGAUAAGUAGACCGCCUGGGGAGUACGGUCGCAAGACUAAAACUCAAAUGAAUUGACGGGGGCCCGCACAAGCGGUGGAGCAUGUGGUUUAAUUCGAUGCAACGCGAAGAACCUUACCUGGCCUUGACAUACUAGAAACUUUCCAGAGAUGGAUUGGUGCCUUCGGGAAUCUAGAUACAGGUGCUGCAUGGCUGUCGUCAGCUCGUGUCGUGAGAUGUUGGGUUAAGUCCCGCAACGAGCGCAACCCUUUUCCUUACUUGCCAGCAUUUCGGAUGGGAACUUUAAGGAUACUGCCAGUGACAAACUGGAGGAAGGCGGGGACGACGUCAAGUCAUCAUGGCCCUUACGGCCAGGGCUACACACGUGCUACAAUGGUCGGUACAAAGGGUUGCUACACAGCGAUGUGAUGCUAAUCUCAAAAAGCCGAUCGUAGUCCGGAUUGGAGUCUGCAACUCGACUCCAUGAAGUCGGAAUCGCUAGUAAUCGCGGAUCAGAAUGCCGCGGUGAAUACGUUCCCGGGCCUUGUACACACCGCCCGUCACACCAUGGGAGUUUGUUGCACCAGAAGUAGCUAGCCUAACUGCAAAGAGGGCGGUUACCACGGUGUGGCCGAUGACUGGGGUGAAGUCGUAACAAGGUAGCCGUAGGGGAACCUGCGGCUGGAACACCUCCUU
rnacentral:rRNA from 1 species